rnacentral:rRNA from 1 species
GGAGUUAGCCGGUGCUUCUUCUGCGAGUAACGUCACAGAUGUAAGGUAUUAACUUACACCCUUUCCUCCUCGCUGAAAGUGCUUUACAACCCGAAGGCCUUCUUCACACACGCGGCAUGGCUGCAUCAGGGUUUCCCCCAUUGUGCAAUAUUCCCCACUGCUGCCUCCCGUAGGAGUCUGGGCCGUGUCUCAGUCCCAGUGUGGCUGAUCAUCCUCUCAGACCAGCUAGGGAUCGUCGCCUAGGUGAGCCUUUACCUCACCUACUAGCUAAUCCCACCUGGGCUUAUCCAUCAGCGCAAGGCCCGAAGGUCCCCUGCUUUCCCCCGUAGGGCGUAUGCGGUAUUAGCAGUCGUUUCCAACUGUUAUCCCCCACAAAUGGGCAAAUUCCCAGGCAUUACUCACCCGUCCGCCGCUCGUCAUCUUCAAAGCAAGCUUUUGAAAUGUUACCGCUCUACUUGCAUGUGUUAGGCCUGCCGCCAGCGUUCAAUCUGAGCCAGAAUCGAACCCUGA